rnacentral:rRNA from 1 species
AACGAACGCUGGCGGCAUGCCUAACACAUGCAAGUCGAACGAGACCUUCGGGUUUAGUGGCGCACGGGUGCGUAACGCGUGGGAAUCUGCCCUUGGGUUCGGAAUAACUUCGGGAAACUGAAGCUAAUACCGGAUGAUGACGUAAGUCCAAAGAUUUAUCGCCCAAGGAUGAGCUCGCGUAGGAUUAGCUAGUUGGUGGGGUAAAGGCCUACCAAGGCGACGAUCUUUAGCUGGUCUGAGAGGAUGAUCAGCCACACUGGGACUGAGACACGGCCCAGACUCCUACGGGAGGCAGCAGUGGGGGAAUAUUGGACAAUGGGCGAAAGCCUGAUCCAGCAAUGCCGCGUGAGUGAUGAAGGCCUUAGGGUUGUAAAGCUCUUUGUCCGGGAAGAUAAUGAC